UGUGUUCUCAGUUUUCUCUGCUCUAUGUUUUCAUUUUCCCAGUGUAAGCCUGUUUUCCAGUCUCCCAUGAAGUGAUACCACCUGGUUGUUUCUGGGAACAUUAUAGCCUGCCAGUCAGAGGUUAACUAUGCUUAGACCUUCCCUGAUCCCUGCCGUGAUCGGAAACCAUAACUUAUUUAUCAUUGACUGCUUGGUCUGUUCCAGCAUAACAAUGUAGUAAAUCUGCUGGGGUUCUUGGAACAUAGCAUCAUUGUAGUAGAUCCUCUGGGAAAAGGAUCAGGAACUUGGAACAGCAGAGACCUGGCCCCAAGUCACCAUCUUUCUUGGACUGUUGCCUGAGACAAUAUAUUUGCUCUGCUCAUGAAUGGGACCACCCUGAUGAGAUAAAGUCCCCUCUGUACUCAGGGGGAAAUGGAAAGGCAGUGACUGCAGAGACUUCAAAACUUCAGAGCAGUGACUUUCCUCAAUGACUACAGACCAGUAUGAAGAGGACUGCAGGCUCAGAGCUUUCUACACCAGGAUGGCAGAUCCAGGAGAACAUUUCUUUCCUGCUGUGUUGAUUCAACGCCAUUUUGACACAUGGCCCCAGCUUCAGGAUUUAUGGAUCCAAUCCCAAAUUGGAACAGCAGCAACAGUAGCAGCACAACAACAACAACAACAACAUUUAUUCAGUCCCUUCUAUGGAUUUAAGGCAGAGUAUACCACAGCCAGCAUUUCAAUCCUAUUAAAAUACGUUUAAGGGGCAUGUUGUGAACCCUACUGGUCAAGGAAUUGUUUGGUGAGGUCAAGAAGAAGGGCCUUUUCUGUCGUGGCUCCUGUCUUCUGGAACAUCGUGCCCCUUGAGGUGAGAUUUGCUUCCACCCUCUUAGUCUUCUAAAAAAGCCUCAAAACAUGAAGGCCUUCCAAUAUUCAACACGGUUAUUGGACUAGGAAGAAGAUUCCA